GAUGAACGCUGGCGGCGUGCCUAAUACAUGCAAGUCGAGCGAACGUUCCAGAAGCUGUCUUCUCUGGUGUUAUCGGCGGACGGAACGUUCACACGUGGAUAACCUACCUAUGAGACAGGGGUACCUUCGGGAAACGGGAGCUAAUACCGGAUAAUAUUUUGCACUGCAUGGUGCAAAAGUCAAAGUCGGUCUUUCUGUCACUUAUAGAUGCACCCGCGCUGCAUUCGCUAGUUGGUAAGGUAACGGCUUAACAAGGCAACGAUGGAUAGCGCACCUGAGAGGGAGAUCGGCUACACGGGAACUGAGGAACGGCCCAGACACCUACGGUAAGAAGCAGUAGGGAAUCCUACGCGAGGGGGGAAAGGGGGAUGGAGCGACGUCGCGGGAGGGAUGACGGUCUCCGGAUCGUAAAACGAUGUUAGUAGGGAAGAAGAAAUGUGUAAUUAACGGUGCACAUAUUGACGGUACCUAAAGAGAAAGCCACGGCUAACUACGUG
rnacentral:rRNA from 1 species